GCAAGUCGAGCGGUAACAGGAGAAGCUUGCUUCUCGCUGACGAGCGGCGGACGGGUGAGUAAUACUUAGGAAUCUACCUAGUAGUGGGGGAUAGCACGGGGAAACUCGUAUUAAUACCGCAUACGACCUACGGGAGAAAGGGGGCAGUUUACUGCUCUCGCUAUUAGAUGAGCCUAAGUCGGAUUAGCUAGAUGGUGGGGUAAAGGCCUACCAUGGCGACGAUCUGUAGCUGGUCUGAGAGGAUGAUCAGCCACACCGGGACUGAGACACGGCCCGGACUCCUACGGGAGGCAGCAGUGGGGAAUAUUGGACAAUGGGGGAAACCCUGAUCCAGCCAUGCCGCGUGUGUGAAGAAGGCCUUUUGGUUGUAAAGCACUUUAAGCAGUGAAGAAGACUCCAUGGUUAAUACCCAUGGACGAUGACAUUAGCU
rnacentral:rRNA from 1 species